UUAUCACCAAAUAUUUAAACAUUAAACUUAAAAACUUCCAAAAGAUAUUGUCUCAAACAUUGUCAGGUACCACACCACAUGUUCAAAAUACAAAAGCUUAACACAACCACAUAAAACACGAAUUUAAAUUUGUUCACAACAAAAACAACUAAAUAAACCAACUAGUAAAAGAAAUAAAUGACUGAAAGCUUGUAAAUUUUCACUCAUUUUGGUGAGCUUUCAGUCAUCAUCUGAACUCGCUUCUUCUUCAUCUUCC
rnacentral:lncRNA from 1 species